rnacentral:tRNA from 2 species
UGUCCAAUUGUGUAACGGUAGCACAGCAGAUUUUGGUUCUGUCAGUCCAGGUUCGAAUCCUGGUUGGACAA